CACGUAGGAGGCGAGCGUUUGUCCGGAAUCAUUGGGCGUAAAGCGCGCGUAGGCGGUUUGGUAAGUCGGAUGUGAAAACCAGAGGCUCAACCUCUGGCCUGCAUCCGAUACUGCCGAGCUAGAGUGUGGGAGAGGGUAGUGGAAUUCCCGGUGUAGCGGUGAAAUGCGUAGAUAUCGGGAGGAACAUCAGUGGCGAAGGCGACUGCCUGGCCCAACACUGACGCUGAGGUGCGAAAGCGUGGGUAGCAAACAGG
rnacentral:rRNA from 1 species